rnacentral:rRNA from 1 species
GACAUGGGCGGAACUCAUCAGCCAUCCGGUGUUGAAGAAGGCCUUGGGUUGUAAAGCACUUUAAGCGAGGAGGAUGCUACCUGUAUAAUACUCUGGGAUAGUGGACGUUACUCACACAAUAAGCACCAGGCUAACUCUGUGCCAGCAGCCGCGGUAAUACAGAGGGUGCAAGCGUUAAUCGGAUUUACUGGGCGUAAAGCGUGCGUAGGCGGCUGAUUAAGUCGGAUGUGAAAUCCCUGAGCUUAACUUAGGAAUUGCAUUCGAUACUGGUCAGCUAGAGUAUGGGAGAGGAUGGUAGAAUUCCAGGUGUAGCGGUGAAAUGCGUAGAGAUCUGGAGGAAUACCGAUGGCGAAGGCAGCCAUCUGGCCUAAUACUGACGCUGAGGUACGAAAGCAUGGGGAGCAAACAGGAUUAGAUACCCUGGUAGUCCAUGCCGUAAACGAUGUCUACUAGCCGUUGGGGCCUUUGAGGCUUUAGUGGCGCAGCUAACGCGAUAAGUAGACCGCCUGGGGAGUACGGUCGCAAGACUAAAACUCAAAUGAAUUGACGGG